rnacentral:rRNA from 1 species
AUUGAACGCUGGCGGCAGGCCUAACACAUGCAAGUCGAACGAACGGCGGACGGGGGAGUACUGCCUAGGGAUCUGCCUGGUCGUGGGGGAUAACGUCCAGAAACGGGCGCUCAUACCGCCUACCAUCAGCUGGGCCCAGCUGGGAUUAGCUAGGAGGUGGGGUAACGGCUCACCUAGGCGACGAUCCCUAGCUGGUCUGAGAGGAUGACCAGCCACACUGGAACUGAGACACGGUCCAGAGUCCGACGGGAGGCAGCAGUGGGGAAUAGUGGACAAUGGGCGAAAGCCUGAUGCAGCCAUGCCGCGUGUGUGAAGAAGGCUUUCGGGUUGUAAAGCACUUUCAGCGGGGAGGCGUUACCCGCAGAGGAAGCACCGGCUAACUCCGUGCCAGCAGCCGCGGUAAUAC